rnacentral:rRNA from 1 species
CAGCAGCCGCGGUAAUACGAAGGGGGCUAGCGUUGCUCGGAAUGACUGGGCGUAAAGGGCGCGUAGGCGGAUUGCAUAGUCAGGCGUGAAAUUCCUGGGCUCAACCUGGGGACUGCGUUUGAUACGUGCGAUCUGGAGUUUGGAAGAGGGUCGUGGAAUUCCCAGUGUAGAGGUGAAAUUCGUAGAUAUUGGGAAGAACACCGGUGGCGAAGGCGGCGACCUGGUCCUUGACUGACGCUGAGGCGCGAAAGCGUGGGGAACAAACAGGAUUAGAUACCCCAGUAGUCCCUGUCUCUUAUAC